rnacentral:rRNA from 1 species
CCUACGGGUGGCUGCAGUGAGGAAUAUUGGUCAAUGGGCGGUAGCCUGAACCAGCCAAGUAGCGUGCGGGAUGAAUGCCCUAUGGGUUGUAAACUUCUUUUGUACGGGGAUAAAACCCUCCACUUGUGCUGGUUUGCAGGUACCGUGCGAAUAAGGGUCGGCUAAAUCCGUGUCAGCAGCCGCGGUAAUACGGAGGGUCCGAGCGUUAUCCGGAUUUAUUUGGCUUAAAGGGAGCGUAGGGGGGCGGUUAAGUCAGUUGUGAAAGUUUGCGGCUCAACCGGAGCAUCGCAGUUGAUACUGGCAGCCUUGAGUACACAACAGGCAGGCGGAAUUCGUGGUGUAGCGGUGAAAUGCAUAGAUAUCACGAAGAACCCCGAUUGCGAAGGCAGCCUGCUGGAGUGCAACUGACGCUGAGGCUCGAAGGUGCGGGUAUCAAACAGGAUUAGAUACCCGAGUAGUC